ACGUCCAAGGUCCUCUUGUUUUGCAGAUCACUGCACAACAGACCCUCAGGUAGAACAAGUUUAGAUAGUGACUCUUAACCAAAGUACAAGUUAGCAUCACCUGGAAGACUUUACUAACCAUGGUUGGCUGAGAGUCUGUGGGAGCAGAAGAGGAAACUGAGGCUUUAGAGAACUGUAGCACAUUGGCAAGGACAUCCAGCUCAUAAACAAUCCAUCAGAAAAGUGAGGUCACUGAGCAACCCACCACCCAAAACCUGGACAGACAGAGAAAUACAGAAGCAUGGCUUACAGAGAGCAGAAGCAGCUGCUGGAGCCACCAUCUGGUAGAAACACUUCAGGGAUGAGAAAACAGUGACCUGGAGACAGUUAUUUCACCAACACCCUCAGCCUUCAGCAUGAGAACAGGGACAUCAGCCUGCUUUGCCCAUGGAACUGUCUCCAGAGCCUACAACAAUGCUCAGCCUAUGAGAGGUGUCUCCUAGAAGACUUUCCAUUUCAACAAGCCUCAUUUAUAUGCAACUGGCAAUUUCUCUAAACAGAAGAAAAGGGGAGAUUUUGCCAAUCAAUUGGCUUCACCAUCCCCCAGCCCCAAAGUGUGUUUAAGAACAUUUGCCUGUGCAUGCAUGUGUUUUCCUUUGCAUCCCACAAGAGGAAGGUAGGCAUAUUGCAUACAACUGCAGCUUUCUCACCUGAGAAACAUUCUUGGGUUUAAUGUCGGUAUGAACCAUUAGGAUUUAGCAUAGCAUCAAUGACAUGCUAACAUAUAUUCGCUCAGUAGCCAUGGGAAGAUCACUUUCUCGUAUAAUUUAUGCAAUUAAACUUUCCCAUUUUCCUGGAUGUAUGCAUGGAAACCAUCCACUGAGGCUGCUGUCCAUUGAGUUGGAGCUUUUGCAUGGCAGAACUGGAGAGUCCAAUUGAAAACACAGAAGUGGAGCUGCUCCAGAGAGGGUGCGGCACGAAGACUCUGUGCAGGCUAUUUCAGAGCGAAGCGAGUGGGCUCAAAUGUGCUGAAUGCUCACUUGCUAACACAGACAGCACCAAGAUAAACACCUACAAAAUAACAGCAAGACACAGACCUGUAGGAACUCCGAGCUGGGCCAGCCUCAGGAGAGGUUUCUCCCAAGGACACUGUUCUUACGCAUAGAUGGAGAAUCACCUGGAAAGAACAAGACUGUGAGCCAGACCCCAGCCUGCAGAGUAUUGGUCCCUCAAACUUGCGUUCUGCCCUUUAAACGGCAUCACAAUGGGUUAACAAUUGUGAAGCUUGAAAAUAAUUGUUUUCCCCUAAGAAUGGGCCUGGGCUUACAGCACAUUUGUGAGACAGAACAGGGGGUGGAGAGGCCAGGGAUCUAGAUUCCCCCAUUUAUUGUCUCAUGUUACACUAAAAAAAUUGGGGGUUGUUACCCGGUUCUACAGAUGAGGAAGCAGAGACUGGAGGGUUUGAUAAACCCCUGGAGGUCAUGCAAAUACCCUGUAGUAAAGCUUAGAUUUUAACCAGAUCUUUUUGUGUUCCAGAAGCUGCAUCUCUGAGUCAUGAGACAUGCAGACCAUGGCAGAUGGUCCCGUGACAGCAUUUAUUACCUUAAACGGGAAGUCUCAACCCACCCUCCUCCCCCACAUCCACUCCCCACUUGAAGAUAGAUACAUAUGAUAGGACAAGGCUGUGAUUUAAACUUAGCUCAGGAUGGUGCUGUGCCUGAGCAUAUGGAAAAGCUUUUAAAUUCAGUUUCAGAUUUAUAUCUGCUGACAAGGGGUAAAAUGAAUUCUUGGUCUUUGUUCGAAUGGAAAAAAGUCUCUACAUUAUUAGGCGCCAUAAUAUUUUAUUCAAAUCUUCUUAGAAAUUUUUGGAUAUUGCAUCUGGGGGUAAGUGUGCCUCUUUGAUGUCAUUCAGAAGUGUGUGUAUCUUGGUUACUGUGUACAAAAUGCACUGGUCCAGUUUUUUCAAAGUGCCUUGACGCUAUACAUUAAAUUGCAAUCAAGAGAAUUGAAUAUGGAAAGUAGAGUUUUUUUUUUUUUGCAAUCCUUCCUUCAACUCCUAAAGUCAGCUCUUUAGAGAAAAUUAGCACUGAUAAUAGGACAAGAUGAUAAAGAAUACAUCCGUGUUACAGCUUCUAGUGCCACUCCCCCAAUCUCACAUUAAUGCUACACUGAUUUCAAUGGAACAUUGAGAAGAAAUAUUUCUCUAGUCUGAAAGUAAAGCAGGAAUUACAAACUCAGUAAUUAAGUUAGGAUUAGGUUUGCUGCAAUAUAAUGUACAUAUAUGCAGAUAUAGUUCAUUACCCUUACACAUAAAAGUGAUCUAAAGAGAGGUAGCCCAAAGCUGUUCAUGUCUACUAUGCCUCUCUGCCUUCCUUAGAUGACACUUCACAGUCCAGAAUGGCUGCUUUUGCUCCAGCCAUCAUGUCCAAAUUCUAGCCUGCAGUGAGGAGAAAGCAACAAAAAAAGGACAUGCUCAUUCUUUUUAAAGAGCACUUCAUAGAGAAUGUUCAUUUCACUUUCAGCUAUCUUUUGUGGCUAGAACAUCAAGUAUGUGGUCACACCCCACUACAGGAGGAGCUUGGAAACGUAGGGUUUAUUUGGGCCCCCAAGUGCUAAACUAAAAUCUGGAAUUGAAACAUAAAUGAAGAAGAGAAUAGGUAUUCAAGUAGGCAUACUCUGCAAUUAUUUCUAGGUCAGUGCUAUGCCCGUGGGAUAAACUUUUCAAGUAGAGGUCCAAUACUGACAAGAGUGAGAGGGACUGAGGCACGUCUCCAAAGCAUUCUAUGAUCCUGGUUCUCAUGACUGGGCCCUGAAACUUUGCACCUCAAUUCCCUUGACUGGAUCUCUGAGCUCCUCUCUGUAUAUGGGUUCCACCACCCAUGUCUCUCCUGGGCUGAGGCCUUGCCUUCCCUGAGUGAGUCCUGCUCUGUUACUCUUGCUUGUCCACCUGUCCCCACAAACUCUAGGAACUAGAACCUGGCCCCAGUCUGGUCUCAAAGCCAGGCAUUGGGUGAGUAAAAAGAACAUCAGUUUGGGGCUACACUGGACCUCAGUUCCAAGCCCAUGUCCAUGACUUUUGAGCCACCUGGCUUUGUGCAAAUUAGCCUUUGUAUACUUCUAUUUCCUCUUUUGUGUAAAAGUGGAAUAUUAAUAGUAUUUACCUCAUAUGGGCUGCAAUGAGUGUUAGCCACCAUUGUUAUUGGUGUAUGUUCGUGGACAGAAGGCCUAUGUCUCUGUCUAGUACAAGGAUAUCCUGGAAAAGAACAUGCCUAACCCUUCUUUGAUUUAAUGAGACCUUCCCAUAUCUCUGGUUCUAAUGGGAUGAAGCUCCCUAACUACCUAGUGCUGGUCUACACCACCACUUUGUCACCUCAGCUCCGUUUUGUGAUGGGACAGGGACCCUUCCCUCCUCUGCAGCACAUCUGUUUCUCUCAAAUAGAUUUGUUUCAAGUCUCAACUCAGGCCAUGAUCUCUGAAGUUGGGCCCCCUCAUGACGUGACAGGAUGAACAAUUUGUACAUAACAGGUGCAAUUUAAAUUCCUGUCUCAUGCAUUAAAGGCAGCUUCCAUUUAGGCUUCUGUGGCCACCUUCUAGAGCCAUCAAACUCUGUAUCUUGAAAAAGUUCACCUUGAAAGCCUUUCUGCCAUUGCCAGUGACAGGGGUACCCUCUCACCAUGCCGGCAGGUUCCUAUAGUGUCUGAGGACCUGAGAUUGACAUUUGUCUCAGCACAUCUUUGGAGCAUAAAGCCAGAGAACUGCCAAAGUAAUGUGACAGCCACCAUUUGAUGAUGCAGAUAAUAGCCACGAGAAGCCAGACAGAAGGAUUUCACUCUAGCAGGUAAAUGUUAGCUUAGCCUUUAUUUAAAACAUGCCUGUCCUGAGAUCAAGUUUGCUAGAGAGAAGAAGAAUCAGAGGAGUUGGUAAUAUUUGGAUUGAUCAUAAUGAAAUGUAUCACUUUUCCUUUUAAAAAUGUUUAUAAGUUAUUUGACUAGUUUUACAAGUUUUAUAUGUUUUGCAAGUGAAUUUUAACCCCUAUGUUUAUCUAUCACCAAGACAAUGCCUUAUAUCAGGCAUUGAUGAUCUCAAUUAAAGACCUCUUUACUGUCUUCUCAGGUCCUAGUGACACUAUUUCCAAUCAACCCUCUACCUUUGCAGAAACUGUGGUUCAAAAUGUAAAUUGAAUUGUGCCACUGUCUUGCUGAAAAGUCUUCAGUGGUUUUCCACUGACUUCUGAAUAAACCAUGACAUAAGUCCCAAGAUGACCUGACAGGCCCUUGCUUCAAUGUCCACCAACCCCCUGCACAUGCAUACGUACACACACACACAUACACACACACACACACACACAUGCACACACACAAUUAACUCCAGCCACCCUGAAGUCCUGGCAGUCCCUCAGCAUUUUCCUUCUCACCCAUGAACCUAUAUACCCAUCUGUGAUGGUUAAUAUUGGUGUUAACUUUGAUCGGAUUGAAGGAUGCAAAGUAUUGUUCCUGGGUGUGUCUGUGAGGGUGCUGGCAAAGGAGAUUAACAUUUAAGUCAGUGGAGUGGGAGAGGCAGACACCCCCUCAAUCUGGAUGGGCACCAUCUAAUCAGCAGCCAACUCAGCCGGAAUAAAGCCAAGCAGAAGAACGUGGAAACAUUAGACUUGUUUAGUCUUCUGGCCUCCAUCUUUCUCCCAGGCUGGAUGUUUCCUGCCCUCGA
rnacentral:lncRNA from 1 species